UACGUAGGGUGCAAGCGUUAAUCGGAAUUACUGGGCGUAAAGCGUGCGCAGGCGGUUCCGCAAGUCAGAUGUGAAAUCCCCGGGCUCAACCUGGGAACUGCAUUUGAAACUACGGAGCUAGAGUGUGUCAGAGGAUGGUGGAAUUCCCGGUGUAGCGGUGAAAUGCGUAGAGAUCGGGAGGAACAUCAGUGGCGAAGGCGGGCCAUCUGGGACAACCACUGACGCGUGAGGCACGAA
rnacentral:rRNA from 1 species